rnacentral:misc_RNA from 1 species
UCCUUCUCUCCACCCCCCGGGGUGUGGCAUUGGAACCAAGUCGGGUCAAACCAACUGGUUCUCAAAAGUAAUGACGGCGUCCGUGGGACCCUCGAUACAACGAGUUCUUUCGGGAGCACGUAUCGAGUUGCAAGGUCCCGGGGACCCGGCCUCCUCAAAAACUAUUUUUUCA